rnacentral:rRNA from 1 species
UACGUAGGGUGCAAGCGUUAAUCGGAAUUACUGGGCGUAAAGCGUGCGCAGGCGGCUUUGCAAGUCGGGUGUGAAAGCCCUCGGCUCAACCGAGGAAGUGCGCCCGAAACUGCAGAGCUUGAGUACCGGAGAGGAUGGCGGAAUCCCCAAGUAGAGGUGAAAUUCGUAGAUAUGGGGAGGAACACCGGUGGCGAAGGCGGCCAUCUCGGACGGAUACUGACGCUGAGACGCGAAAGCGUGGGUAGCAAACAGG